rnacentral:rRNA from 1 species
GCCAGACUCCUACGGGAGGCAGCAGUGGGGAAUAUUGCACAAUGGGGGAAACCCUGAUGCAGCAACGCCGCGUGAGUGAAGAAGUAUUUCGGUAUGUAAAGCUCUAUCAGCAGGGAAGAAGAAGGACGGUACCUGACUAAGAAGCCCCGGCUAACUACGUGCCAGCAGCCGCGGUAAUACGUAGGGGGCGAGCGUUAUCCGGAUUUACUGGGUGUAAAGGGAGCGUAGACGGUUUUUCAAGUCUGAAGUGAAAGCGCGGGGCUCAACUGCAGAGCGGCUUUGGAAACUGAGGGAGUAGAGUGCUGGAGGAGGAGGCAGAAUUCGUGGUGUAGCGGCGAAAUGCGAAGAUAUCAGGAGGAACGCCGGUGGCGGAGGCGGCCUGCUGGACAGUAACUGACGUUGA